rnacentral:rRNA from 1 species
UUAGGAAUAUUGGACAAUGGGCGCAAGCCUGAUCCAGCCAUGCCGCGUGAGUGAUGAAGGCCUUCGGGUUGUAAAACUCUUUAGCCGACGAAUAUAAUGACUGUAGUCGGAGAAUAAGCCCCGGCUAACUUCGUGCCAGCAGCCGCGGUAAUACGAAGGGGGCGAGCGUUAUUCGGAAUCACUGGGCGUAAAGCGUGCGUAGGCUGUUUUGUAAGUUGGGAGUGAAAGCCCAGGGCUCAACCCUGGAAUUGCUCUCAAAACUACAAGACUCGGAUUUGGGAGAGGAUAGCGGAAUUGUCAGUGUAGCAGUGAAAUGCGUAGAUAUUGACAGGAACACCAGUGGCGUAAGCGGCUAUCUGGACCAACAUCGACGCUGAGGCACGAAAGCGUGGGGAUCAAACAGG